rnacentral:lncRNA from 1 species
AGUGUGGCACCGUUCGCUCUGAGAAUCAGUCUAAAGUCGGGCCGCCUGAAUCCCGAUCCCACCACACCUGCUACCGGCUGUAAGCCCUUAGGCAAGUUACCAAACUCCUCUGUACCUCAGUUGCUUUAUCUAUAAAAUGGGGACAAUACAGUUACUCACCGGGUGAGAUUGGCGUAAAGGAUUCAGGGAGCGCCUGGAGGAAAGUGAGCCCCAGGUUUGCGUUCCGGUGUCCCCACAAAGCAGAGCCAAGCCUUCGGCAGCUGGAAGCCGGGUUUUCCCCUGUCUCGGGGCCCUUCUCUGCAGUGUGGACCACAGAGUGUCUCUCUCAGCGCUCUGCCCGUCCAGGAGGACCGCCCUCCACCAUCGUCUUUUAGGGCCACCGCCGAGGGGGGUGGCACCCUCCGUGUUUGGCCAGACCAUAUAUCGCUGCAGCUCACCUGCGAACCCAGCCAAGUCCUUCCUUCAGUUGAUCGUAAAUGACGCCACCCGAGGCCACGCUGGUACGCGCAGGAAGAGGUGUCAGUUCGAGAAAGAUCUGUGAUUCAUGCCGAGUGAACACCAAGUGACCUUCACCUACACCAGCCGCCACAGGGGUAGGGGAGGUCUUGGGGUUGAGCAGACGGAUCCAAGUACAGAAGGCAGGUGGGGAGGCAGUGGACACACAGGUGGGCAGAGAGGAAGAGGGAGCCUCCUGGCGUCAUAUGCGUGACCUUCAAAAUACUUGCCAAAGCUGCCGUUUUACUCUGCUAUUUGGUUCGUGUUUGUCCCCUCCGCACGACUGUAAGUUCCAUGAGGGCAGGCGCUGUAUAAAUGAUUUGUUCACCAGGGCAUUCCCUACAUCAGUGGUGCUCAACUUUUUCAGUGUCAGGACCCUCUUCCACUCUUAAAAAUUAUUGAGGUCUCCAAAGAGCUUUCGUUGAUGCUGGUUAUACGGACAGAUCAGAGGUUCCCCAUUGAGGGCCACUUGGCUAUGUCUGGAGCCAGUUUUGACUGUCACAACUUGUGGGAUGGGGGAGGAGUGAUACUGGUAUCCCGUGGGUGAAGGCCAGAGACGCUGCUAGAAUCCCACACUGCCCAGGUCGGCCCCCGUGACGAAGAAUUUUCAGCCUAAAAUGUCAAUAGUACCAAGGUUGAGAAAUCUUGCUAUAGGUCUUAACCAUAUGAUUAGAAAAUAAAACGGAGAGAAAUUAAAAUAUUUAUUCA